rnacentral:rRNA from 2 species
AAGCAGCUUGCUGCUUUGCUGACGAGUGGCGGACGGGUGAGUAAUGUCUGGGAAACUGCCUGAUGGAGGGGGAUAACUACUGGAAACGGUGGCUAAUACCGCAUAACGUCGCAAGACCAAAGAGGGGGACCUUCGGGCCUCUUGCCAUCAGAUGUGCCCAGAUGGGAUUAGCUUGUUGGUGAGGUAACGGCUCACCAAGGCGACGAUCCCUAGCUGGUCUGAGAGGAUGACCAGCCACACUGGAACUGAGACACGGUCCAGACUCCUACGGGAGGCAGCAGUGGGGAAUAUUGCACAAUGGGCGCAAGCCUGAUGCAGCCAUGCCGCGUGUAUGAAGAAGGCCUUCGGGUUGUAAAGUACUUUCAGCGGGGAGGAAGGUGUUGUGGUUAAUAACCGCAGCAAUUGACGUUACCCGCAGAAGAAGCACCGGCUAACUCCGUGCCAGCAGCCGCGGUAAUACGGAGGGUGCAAGCGUUAAUCGGAAUUACUGGGCGUAAAGCGCACGCAGGCGGUCUGUCAAGUCGGAUGUGAAAUCCCCGGGCUCAACCUGGGAACUGCAUUCGAAACUGGCAGGCUUGAGUCUUGUAGAGGGGGGUAGAAUUCCAGGUGUAGCGGUGAAAUGCGUAGAGAUCUGGAGGAAUACCGGUGGCGAAGGCGGCCCCCUGGACAAAGACUGACGCUCAGGUGCGAAAGCGUGGGGAGCAAACAGGAUUAGAUACCCUGGUAGUCCACGCCGUAAACGAUGUCUACUUGGAGGUUGUGCCCUUGAGGCGUGGCUUCCGGAGCUAACGCGUUAAGUAGACCGCCUGGGGAGUACGGCCGCAAGGUUAAAACUCAAAUGAAUUGACGGGGGCCCGCACAAGCGGUGGAGCAUGUGGUUUAAUUCGAUGCAACGCGAAGAACCUUACCUGGUCUUGACAUCCACAGAAGAAUCCAGAGAUGGAUUUGUGCCUUCGGGAACUGUGAGACAGGUGCUGCAUGGCUGUCGUCAGCUCGUGUUGUGAAAUGUUGGGUUAAGUCCCGCAACGAGCGCAACCCUUAUCCUUUGUUGCCAGCGGUUAGGCCGGGAACUCAAAGGAGACUGCCAGUGAUAAACUGGAGGAAGGUGGGGAUGACGUCAAGUCAUCAUGGCCCUUACGACCAGGGCUACACACGUGCUACAAUGGCGCAUACAAAGAGAAGCGACCUCGCGAGAGCAAGCGGACCUCAUAAAGUGCGUCGUAGUCCGGAUUGGAGUCUGCAACUCGACUCCAUGAAGUCGGAAUCGCUAGUAAUCGUGGAUCAGAAUGCCACGGUGAAUACGUUCCCGGGCCUUGUACACACCGCCCGUCACACCAUGGGAGUGGGUUGCAAAAGAAGUAGGUAGCUUAACCUUCGGGAGGGCGCUUACCACUUUGUGAUUCAUGACUGGGGUGAAGUCGUAACAAGGUAACCGUAGGGGAACCUGCGGUUGGAUCACCUCCUUACCUUAAAGAA